rnacentral:piRNA from 1 species
UCCUUAGAAAAACAGGAUUCUUCUCCUUUC